rnacentral:rRNA from 1 species
GAUGAACGCUGGCGGCGUGCCUAAUACAUGCAAGUCGAGCGAACAGACGAGGAGCUUGCUCCUCUGACGUUAGCGGCGGACGUGUUAGUAACACGUGGAUAACCUACCUAUAAGACUGGGAUAACUUCGUGAAACCGGAGCUAAUACCGGAUAAUAUAUUUAACCGCAUGUUUCAAUAGUGAAAGACUGUUUUGCUGUCACUUAUAGAUUGAUCCGCGCCGCAUUAGCUAGUUGGUAAGGUAACGGCUUACCAAGGCGACGAUGCGUAGCUGACCUGAGAGGGUGAUCGGCCACACUGGCACUGAGACACGGUCCAGACUCCUAAGGGAGGCAGCAGUAGGGAAUCUUCCGCAAUGGGCGCAAGCAUGACGGAGCAACGACGCGUGAGUGAUGAAGGUCUUCGGAUCGUAAAACUCUGUUAUUAGGGAAGAACAAAUGUGUAAGUAACUAUGCACGUCUUGACGGUACCUAAUCAGAAAGCCAGGGCUAACUACGUG